GACAGAGGGUGCAAACGUUGUUCGGAAUUACUGGGCGUAAAGCGCGCGUAGGCGGAUCGCUAAGUCAGGGGUGAAAUCCCAGGGCUCAACCCUGGAACUGCCUUUGAUACUGACGAUCUGGAGAUCGGGAGAGGUUGGUGGAAUUCCGAGUGUAGAGGUGAAAUUCGUAGAUAUUCGGAGGAACACCAGAAGCGAAGGCGGCCAACUGGCCCGAUACUGACGCUGAGGCGCGAAAGCGUGGGGAGCAAACAGG
rnacentral:rRNA from 1 species